AUUGGUUUGGCAGCAUAUGUUUAUGUUAACAAAAUGGACACUUCUUGUCAUGCCGAUGAAUUGUCAUGUGAGGCUGAAGUUGCAGAGGAUAAAUAGGGGACACGAUUUUUAUCCAGCAUUCAACAACCUCCAGGUAUUGGCAGCGGCUGCUAUUUUUUGGUAUGCAUUUCACCUCAGAGGGAAAAGUCUGUGGGGGUAGAGGGCUAUAACAUUUCACAAGUAUUGCAAUGGCACUUUACGAGUUUGUUCUGGAAUAAAUGCACAGGUGCACAGCUCACGCGCAGGGUGAAAAUCUUGCAGAGCAACUGAACAAAGUGGUGUUUUAGCUGAUCGGGAUAUUUGGUAUGAUUUGACUGUGGCAUAUUAUGGAUAUCACAGAUUAUCCUUACCUUCACUACGACCCUAUAUUGGUCAUUCAACACCACACUCCAUAGGCACCACAAUC